rnacentral:misc_RNA from 1 species
GCAUUUUCGAGCCAAAAGUGCGAAGCGUCUAAGUGGGGAAAUCAGCUCACUGGACUGAUUUCUGAUCCUGCUUCGAUGUGUCGGAUAAUGCGUAAAACAAAGAAAUAGAGCGGUUCCAACCUUUGCUGUAACCGGGUCUGUUACGGUUUCUG